AACAAUGUCAUUUGAUAUCCAAUUAAAAUUUACUGAAUUUUGGAAGGUGUCAAACAUCAAAUAGAAUUCAGAUAAAGCAGAUAUCCAUUUAGUCUGGAUAUUUGAGCAGUAGUAAUAUUGAACAAAAUGAAUUUCUUGGCCAAACUCCUAUUUCUUUUGGCAAUUCAACAUAUGUCAGCUGCAACAAAUAAUUUGGAUGGUGUUAAGAACUUGAUUAAAGGAAGGAUCAGGUCUAUCCAAUUUAUUCAGAGAACCACAUUUGCACUUUGAUCAGGAAAAUUGUUAAGCCUUGGGUGAAAACAAGCCUUGCCCUGGUAUUGGAGUUGUUACCAAGUAUUUUAUUCAUCUUAUCUAGAAUUAAACCUUCAAGAUUGUUCAGCCCUGCAUUUCAGGUCCUAAAAGAGAUGAAAGCAGAUUGGCAUUCUUGUCUUGACAACAAAGUUAGAUUCAAGGGAUUUGCAGUGCCCAAGAAAUCACAAGAAAAAGUUGUGAAGUUUGACUUUCAUGGCCAAUCUGUCGAGCUCAAGCAUGAUAGUGUUGUUCUUGGUGUUGGACUUAUUGCCAAGAAGGCUUGUGAAUUGGGUCUUUAGGUUAUAGUUGAUAAGGGGAUAAAUAUGUCUUUUUGUCCCCUUUUUUUUCUAAAAGAAAAAGGGUCAAGGCCUUCAUUAAAUUAGAUUAACAAUAAUAUUGUAAAUUUAUUUGGAUAUUGUCUGUCUUUGCUAUAAGAUGAUAGUUUGUUGUUGUUUUUUGUUAUGUUUCUUAAGCAUCUCAAUGUAUCUCAUGCUUGCAAAUAUAUUUUUUUUUUGGUACUUGUAUUCAUAUAGUGAUCUUUCUUCCUUUAUUUUCAGGUUAAGCCUUGGGUGAAAACAAGCCUUGCCCUGGUAUUGGAGUUGUUACCAAGUAUUUUAUUCAUCUUAUCUAGAAUUAAACCUUGAAGAUUGUUCAGCCCUGCAUUUCAGGUCCUAAAAGGUAGACCUCUGCUGUUAUCUUUCAACCUACGCUCCCUUGUUAUCCAUUUCUUUGUCCAGAAAACCAAUGCAUUUAAUUUUUUUCUUUUAAAUCUUGAUGGAUCUCAUGACCGUGUACCCUUAAAAGAGAUGAAAGCAGAUUGGCAUUCUUGUCUUGACAACAAAGUUAGAUUCAAGGUGAGAGUCCGUGUAUUCCUCACUAGUGGUUAAUGCCUAGUUCCAUUUUCUAGCAUGGCCAUGAACAACCUUCGCUAAGCUGCUUCCGGUAUAUAUACAAUCUUAGUUGUUGUUGUUUCUUAAAUUUUUAUAGUUUCUGCAGCCAUUUUCUAGAAAAAAAUUGGGAUAGUGAUGAAGUAGAUGAACUGGAACAUUUGAAGCUUGAGAAUUGCAAUGCUGAAAAAGAUACAUUGUUUCCUACAAUUUCUGAAGUUCAUUUAUUUAAUUAUCAAGAACCUAUCAGUUUUUGAAGAUGGAAGUGUCUCAUCAAUGCCUUAUCUUGCAAAACAAUCACUGUCAUACUGAUUAUGACCAGUUGUAAAUUAUUUACAGUUGUUAUCUUGAUUAUUGUUUAAUUCUGAAUCUUGUUUAUUGUUACUAACCAAUUGCUUCUUUUGCAGGGAUUUGCAGUGCCCAAGAAAUCACAAGAAAAAGUUGUGAAGUUUGACUUUCAUGGCCAAUCUGUCGAGCUCAAGCAUGAUAGUGUUGUGCUUGGUGUUGGACUUGUUGCCAAGAAGGCUUGUGAAUUGGGUCUUUAGGUUAUAGUUGAUAAUGGGAUAAAUAUGCCUUUCUGUCCCCUUUUUUUUCUAAAUGAAAAAGGGUCAAGGCCAUACUUAAAUUAGAUUAACAAUAUUGUGAAUUUAUUUGGAUAUUGUCUGUCUUUGCUAUAAGAUGAGAGUUUGUUGUUGUUUGUUAUGUUUCUUGAGCAUCUCAAUGUAUCUCAUGCUUGCAAAUAUAUUUUUUUUUGGUACUUGUAUUCAUAUAGUGAAUUUUCUUCCUUUAUUUUCAGGUUAAGCCUUGGGUGAAAACAAGCCUUGCCCUGGUAUUGGAUUUGUUACCAAGUAUUUUAUUCAUCUUAUCUAGAAUUAAACCUUGAAGAUUGUUCAACCCUGCAUUUCUGUCCUAAAAGGUAGACCUCUGCUGUUAUCUUUCAACCUACGCUCCCUUGUUAUCCAUUUCUUUGUCCAGAAAACCAAUGCAUUUAAUUUUUUUCUUUUAAAUCAUGAUGGAUCUCAUGACCGUGUACCCUUAAAAGAUAUGAAAGCAGAUUGGCAUUCUUGUCUUUACAACAAAGUUAGAUUCAAGGUGAGAGUCUGUGUAUUCCUCACUAGUGGUUAAUGCCUAGUUCCAUUUUUCAGCAUGGCCAUGAACAGCCUUCGCUAAACUGCUUCCGGUAUAUAUACAAUCUUUGUUGUUGUUGUUUCUUAACUUUUUAUAGUUUCUGCUGCCAUUUUCUAAAAAAAAAAUUGGCAGAGUGAUGAAGUAGAUGAACUGGUACAUUUUAAGCUUGAGAAUUGCAAUGCUGAAAAAGAUACAUUGUUUCCUACAAUUUCUGAAGUUCAUUUAUUUAAUUAUCAAGAACCUAUCAGUUUUUGAAGAUGGAAGUGUCUCAUCAAUGCCUUAUCUUGCAAAACAAUCACUGUCAUACUUAUUAUGACCAGUUGCAAAUUAUUUACAGUUGUUAUCUUGAUUAUUGUUUAAUUCUGAAUCUUGUAUAUUGUUACUAACCAAUUACUUCUUUUGCAGGGAUUUGCAGUGCCCAAGAAAUCACAAGAAAAAGUUGUAAAGUUUGACUUUCAUGGCCAAUCUGACGAGCUCAAGCAUGAUAGUGUUGUGCUUGGUGUUGGACUUGUUGCCAAGAAGGCUUGUGAAUUGGGUCUUUAGGUUAUAGUUGAUAAGGGGAUAAAUAUGCCUUUUUGUCCCCUUUUUUUUCCAAAAGAAAAAGCGUCAAGGCCAUACUUAAAUUAGAUUAACAAUAUUGUGAAUUUAUUUGGAUAUUGUCUGUCUUUGCCAUAAGAUGAUAAUUUGUUGUUGUUGUUUGUUAUGUUUCUUGAGCAUCUCAAUGUAUCUCAUGCUUGCAAAUAUAUUUUUUUUGGUACUUGUAUUCAUAUAGUGAUCUUUCUUCAGGUUAAGCCUUGGGUGAAAACAAGCCUUGCCCUGGUAUUGGAGUUGUUACCAAGUAUUUUAUUCAUCUUAUCUAGAAUUAAACCUUGAAGAUUGUUCAGAACUGCAUUUCAGGUCCUAAAAGGGAUUUGCGGUGCCCAAGAAAUCACAAGAAAAAGUUGUGAAGUUUGACUUUCAUGGCCAAUCUGUCGAGCUCAAUCAUGAUAGUGUUGUGCUUGGUGUUGGACUUGUUGCCAAGAAGGCUUGUGAAUAGGGUCUUUAGGUUAUAGUUGAUAAGGGGAUAAGUAUGUCUUUUUGUCCCCUUUUUUUUCUAAAAGAAAAAGAGUCUAGGCCUUACUUAAAUUAGAUUAAAAAUAUUGUGAAUUUAUUUGGAUAUUGUCUGUCUUUGCUAUAAGAUGAUAGUUUGUUGUUGUUGUUUGUUA